UAUAGUUCCCUAAUGCUCGUUCCCUAAAUUUGAUCCCUAAUGCACAUUCCCUAAAUCUAGAUCCCUAAUGCUCGUUCCCUAAAUCUAGUUCCCUAAUGCACAUUCCCUAAAUCUAGAUCCCUAAUGCUCGUUCCCUAAAUCUAGUUCCCUAAUGCUCAUUCCCUAAAUUUAGUUCCCUAAUGCACAUUCCCUAAAUCUAGUUCCCUAAUGCUCGUUCCCUAAAUCUAGAUCCCUAAUACUUGUUCCAUAAAUCUAGUUCCGUAAUGCUCGUUCCCUAAAUCGAGUUCCAAGAGAAUAGUCCACUGAAGCUAACGUUUGUUGUCUAGCUUUAGUGGUUAGGGAUAGUUGUAAGGCUAAGCGCUAUGGGUUAUGAAUAAUUAAGGGUGUAGGAUUUAGAACUAUCCCUAUCUCCCUAGUGGAGUGUAUGUGUGUGUGUGUGUGUGUGCGUGUGUGUGUGUGUGUGUGUGUGUGUGUGUGUGUGUGUUUGCACGCAUGUGUGUAUGUGUCUCAUUUAAAGCACAUCUAAUUAUGGCUGUGUUUAAUUUCAUCACACAGCACCACAGCAAUAAAGCACAAUAAAAGUGAAUCAGUAUCAGGAGAACCCUAAUGACAGCUCUGAGUCCUGAGUCCUGACUUUACACUCACCCGCUGAACACAUUUUCAUUUAACAUUUACAAACCAUUAAAGUUUGUAAAUAUUAAAUUAUUUAUUUAUUUGUAUAUUUACACGUCUAACCCUAACCUUUUUAAUCAUCUUUAGCUCAUAAAAACACUACAGAAUUCAGCACUCAGGGAGGAUUUAAUGCUGAAAUUACACGCAUCAGUAUUCAGAGCUACUGAGUGAAGCGCUACUCGGUCAGAUUAUCCUUCACACCACGUUUCCUUUACAGGAGAGUGCUGAGGAACACUGCUGAGAACAAGUGUGAUACAAUCUCCCACAUCCCACACACGUUACGCUUUCAUAGACGCUGCUGAAAUGUUCUCAGAUAGUCUUGGAUCCUUCUGUAAUCUAAAAGGUGAUGUUAAUAAUCUGAAUGUGGAGCUCAGCUGCGUAACCCGACUCUGAACACCAGGAACUUUCCUCAUGGAAAUGCUGAUGGAACUUUUGGACUUGGAGUCUGACUCUGAACACGACCCUAAAGUCGUGAGUGUCAGACUCCAAACCUCACAGAUGUGGUCCCAGGAAUUGUUCAAGCCAAGUGUUUGGAUUUGUCUCAAACUGG
ensembl:lncRNA